ACUCCUACGGGAGGCAGCAGUAGGGAAUUUUCCGCAAUGGACGAAAGUCUGACGGAGCAAUGCCGCGUGAGUGAUGAAGGUUUUCGAAUCGUAAAGCUCUGUUGUAAGGGAAGAAUAGCAGUGUAGGAAAUGACUACUGUGUGACGGUACCUUACCAGAAAGCCACGGCUAACUACGUGCCAGCAGCCGCGGUAAUACGUAGGUGGCAAGCGUUAUCCGGAAUUAUUGGGCGUAAAGCGCAUGUAGGCGGCUCUUUAAGUCUGAUGUGAAAGCCUGUGGCUCAACCACAGAAUUGCAUUGGAUACUGGAGAGCUAGAAUCUUGGAGAGGUAAGUGGAAUUUCAUGUGUAGCGGUGGAAUGCGUAGAUAUAUGAAGGAACACCAAUGGCGAA
rnacentral:rRNA from 1 species